rnacentral:rRNA from 1 species
AGCGAACGUUAGCGGCGGGCCUAACACAUGCAAGUCGAACGCGAAAGGUCUUCGGACUGAGUAGAGUGGCGCACGGGUGAGUAACACGUAGGUAAUCUACCCUUUGGCGGGGAUAACGUUCCGAAAGGAGCGCUAAUACCGCAUAAGACCACGGAGUCUCCGGACGCUGUGGGAAAAGGUGGCCUCUUCUUGAAAGCUACCACCGAAGGAUGAGCCUGCGUCCCAUCAGCUAGUUGGUAAGGUAAUGGCUUACCAAGGCGAAGACGGGUAGCUGGUUUGAGAGAAUGAUCAGCCACACUGGCACUGGAACACGGGCCAGACUCCUACGGGAGGCAGCAGUGAGGAAUAUUGGGCAAUGGGCGAAAGCCUGACCCAGCACGCCGCGUGAGUGAUGAAGGCCCUCGGGUCGUAAAGCUCUGUGGAGAGGGACGAAAACCCUGGUUUCAAAUAGGCUCCAGGCUUGACGGUACCUCUUUAGCAAGCACCGGCUAACUCUGUGCCAGCAGCCG